rnacentral:rRNA from 1 species
UACAGAGGGGGCAAGCGUUGUUCGGAAUUACUGGGCGUAAAGGGCGCGUAGGCGGCCUUCUAAGUCGAACGUGAAAUCCCCGGGCUCAACCCGGGAACUGCGUCCGAUACUGGAAGGCUUGAAUCCGGGAGAGGGAUGUGGAAUUCCAGGUGUAGCGGUGAAAUGCGUAGAUAUCUGGAGGAACACCGGUGGCGAAGGCGGCAUCCUGGACCAUUACUGACGCUGAGGCGCGAAAGCUAGGGGAGCAAACGGG